UCCUGUCCAGGUAAAUUUGUAUUUUCAUUUAAUACAAACUAUGGCUGAAGACAAUGCCAUGAAUCUCUGCAAUCGAGUUGUUCCUCGAACAUCUGGGAACGACCGAACCAGUAAUACUGAAAACGCUGAUGAGCGUCAUUGUGCAGUAUUACCAGCAGAAAAUGAAAUUAGUGGACAAUCGGCUUAUCAAGAGCCGAGUCUAGCUCAGGCACUCGGCCAGAUAAGCCGAGUCCUGCAAACUUUAGAUCAAAAUAUCCAUCAAAGUACCGCUCGACUAGACGCGGUGUUGGCCGCCAUCACGGCCUAUAAUGAAAAUAUUGCACGAAUAGGGCAAUUAUUGACUCGAAAUGAGCAACCAAUGACAGGC
rnacentral:lncRNA from 1 species